rnacentral:rRNA from 1 species
AUACGUAGGUGGCAAGCGUUAUCCGGAAUUAUUGGGCGUAAAGCGCGCGCAGGCGGUUUCUUAAGUCUGAUGUGAAAGCCCACGGCUCAACCGUGGAGGGUCAUUGGAAACUGGGAAGCUUGAGUGCAGAAGAGGAGAGUGGAAUUCCAUGUGUAGCGGUGAAAUGCGUAGAGAUAUGGCGGAACACCAGUGGCGAAGGCGACUCUCUGGUCUGCAACUGACGCUGAGGCGCGAAAGCGUGGGGAGCGAACAGGAUUAGAUACCCUGGUAGUCCACGCUGUAAACGAUGAGUGCUAGGUGUCGGGGGGUCCAACCCUCGGUGCUGUCGCUAACGCAAUAAGCACUCCGCCUGGGGAGUACGGUCGCAAGACUGAA